rnacentral:rRNA from 1 species
CCUACGGGGGGCAGCAGUGAGGAAUAUUGGUCAAUGGGCGAGAGCCUGAACCAGCCAAGUCGCGUGAGGGAAGACGGUCCUAUGGAUUGUAAACCUCUUUUGUCGGGGAGCAAAAGUCGCCACGCGUGGCGUUCCGAGAGUACCCGAUGAAAAAGCAUCGGCUAACUCCGUGCCAGCAGCCGCGGUAAUACGGAGGAUGCGAGCGUUAUCCGGAUUUAUUGGGUUUAAGGGGUGCGCAGGCGGAAGAUCAAGUCAGUGUGAAAAUUUAGGGGCUCAACCUCGUCGAGCCGUUGAAACUGGUUGUCUUGAGUGCGUGAGAAGUAGGCGGAAUGCGUGGUGUAGCGGUGAAAUGCAUAGAUAUCACGCAGAACUCCGAUUGCGAAGGCAGCAUACCGGCGCUCAACUGACGCUCAUGCACGAAAGUGUGGGUAUCGAACAGGAUUAGAUACCCGAGUAGUC